rnacentral:lncRNA from 10 species
UUUUGGACUAAUUCAUGUGGCUGCAAUUGGAGCUGGAUGAUCUAAAUGGUCUCACUCCUAGGUCUGGCUGUUGAUGUUGGCUGUUGGCUGAGCCAGGGGCCGCCAGCAGGCUAGCAUGGGCUCUUCACUCAGCAGCAGGGUUCCCCAAGAGGACAAGCCCAACACACAUGUGCUUUUCAAGCCUGUGAUUAUCAGGCUUGAAAUACUGCAACAUCUGCUGCAAUCAGUAACAACCACAUAAGAAAGCAAUGACAAGUUAUGAUUACUGCUCUGGAGGGAGUGAGCAGGAUGCUGUGAGAGAGGGUUACUAUUCCAAGUGGCACCUGGGCCAGCAGCAUUGGCAUCACCUGGGACUUGUGAGAAAUCCAGCAUCUCAGGCUCCACUGCAGGUCUCCUAAAUCAGAAUCUACAGUUUAACAAGAUCCCCAGCAGAUGUGUGUGGAGGAAGGAGGGAAGCAAAAUGGACACUUUAUCCUUUAAAAGGAUCACAUA